UUGGCUCUGUAAGUAGCACUUCAGUACCAAUCACCAGGUCAACCUGCUUGCACCUYGGAUUAGGCCUAGCUGGCCUAACUGCCCUGCUAGGGAAACUUGGUUCCUCUGGAACAGGGUAGCUGCACUUCAUUGACUGGACCAAGGCAUGGGACUUCUCUGACAAAGGGAGCCCUAUGUACCAGCUGCAGAGGGACAUGACCUGCCCUGCUGAGGAGCUCCCUCUUGGCUUGUGGUGGAUGUGCUUUCACCACGCUUCUCAGAUUGCUCCAUUCGAGCACAUCAGUCUGUAACAGCACACAUCACUCUGUAACAGUCUGAGAACAUUAGAAAGCCCUAAUGCUUGAGUCUGACACAUGCUUGGACGCCACAGAAAAAACUCCUGCUGCAUCUGAAAUGUCAUCCCAGGCAACAUCUGUGCAAAGGAAAAGGUUUCCGGUUGAAGGACACGACUUUCAGAAAGCGCCAAGCCAAAAUUCCCUGCAGGCAUCUCUGAAGUGUCUCAGCAUGGGUCCUGGCAACUAUGGAAUUCCUGUUGGAAAUCUUGGCCUCUGUGUUAAAGUACUGGGUARUAUUAUGGGAUGUGAAACAAUAGGUAGUGCUGGGUGCCCCAAAGGGAUAUCAAGUUCUGCUAAGCAUUAGUUAAGACAGCAUUCAUCUUAAUGCCAAUGCAUUUCGUAUAUGCCACAGUUUUGUACCAAACGAGAUCUUGAAAGACUGUCAGUUUGAAUUACAUUGUUCACAAGGUAAAAUGAAAUAUCCUGGCUUCCAAACUUGUGUUGAUUCAGAAUAUUUCACACCUAUUUUAUCUGCUGGGGGUGAUACUGGCUUCAGUGCGGAUGACAUGCAUGACAUGGUAUCAGUGAGUCCCCACACGAGGGAAAGGAAAAUUUCCCCUUGAUGGAAAUGACACAGCUUACUGUGAGGAGGGAGAAACAACCGAUGUUGUAAUGGAUUUAUAUUCUAGUAGUGUCCUGGGGCCCCUUUAAAUCACCAAGCAGUUUCUUGCUGAAUUCAAUGUAUUACAUGCACCUUAAAGUUUGGAUGUGCUGCGAGCUUUGGAUCAAGCACAAGUCAGCUUGACCACCUUCAUUCCUGCAGCAGUAAAUUCAGAUUUCCAUAUUAAUUUAGUGAAAAUGAGUAACAUAACAUGGCCUUAUAUGACACUCUCUUUAAAUAAGAUCAGAAAUCAAUAAGCCAAAGUCAUUAUCAAAUUUUAUAUUGAUAUGAUAACCACAUUCUACUAAUUGGUCAAGAAAUGAAAUUAAUUUUCUGAAGGCUAUGCAUGCAGCCCUUACCAUAAAAGAUAUUUAUUAUAUCACUGUCUCUAGAAACAACUAAUUUGAGACUGCAUUCUUUGCGGUUAUUUAACAUAAUUUUAUAAAAUACAGCAUAUAUUCAGUUUAGGGGCUUCCUAAACUUAAGAAACCCCACUGAUUCUGAAACUAGGUGUUGCAUUUGUAACUCAAGCCAGGAAAAGAAGUCUUUAUAUCCGGCUAAACUUGAUGCAAAUAUAAGAAGUCUCUGGCAAUAAUAAGAGAAAAAAUUAUCAUCUCCUCCAAUCUAUCAUGACCAUAAAGUAAGCAGAAUUGUUUCAGACUGCAAAGCAACAGUGCCUGCAAGGGCUGUUUCUUGAGAACUGGGCAGGAAUGGGGUGAGAUGGUGGUCCCUUCUGACAAUUUAGUCUUUGAAGUGGAACUGGCCAGGUUCUAUAAGGUCAGGCUUUUAGAAGGAAGAGGGUUAUUUCUU